UACGUAGGGACCGAGCGUUGUCCGGAAUCAUUGGGCGUAAAGAGCGUGUAGGCGGCUAUUUAAGUCCUGCGUGAAAUCCUGCGGCUCAACCGCAGACGGUCGUGGGAAACUGGAUGGCUAGAGUUCGGGAGAGGAGAGUGGAAUUCCCGGUGUAGCGGUGAAAUGCGCAGAUAUCGGGAAGAACACCCGUGGCGAAGGCGGCUCUCUGGAACGCAACUGACGCUGAGACGCGAAAGCUAGGGGAGCAAGCGGG
rnacentral:rRNA from 1 species